GACGAACGCUGGCGGCGUGCCUAAUACAUGCAAGUAGAACGCUGAAGGCGGAGCUUGCUUCUCUGGAUGAGUUGCGAACGGGUGAGUAACGCGUAGGUAACCUGCCUGGUAGCGGGGGAUAACUAUUGGAAACGAUAGCUAAUACCGCAUAAGAGUAGAUGUUGCAUGACAUUUGCUUAAAAGGUGCAAUUGCCUCACUACCAGAUGGCCCUGCGUUGUAUUAGCUAGUUGGUGGGGUAACGGCUCACCAAGGCGACGAUACAUAGCCGACCUGAGAGGGUGAUCGGCCACACUGGGACUGAGACACGGCCCAGACUCCUACGGGAGGCAGCAGUAGGGAAUCUUCGGCAAUGGACGGAAGUCUGACCGAGCAACGCCGCGUGAGUGAAGAAGGUUUUCGGAUCGUAAAGCUCUGUUGUAAGAGAAGAACGAGUGUGAGAGUGGAAAGUUCACACUGUGACGGUAUCUUACCAGAAAGGGACGGCUAACUACGUG
rnacentral:rRNA from 1 species